UUGUUCUCGGCUGAGUGGAGAGAUUUCCUUCGGGGAGGAGACAAUAAAAAGGAAGGAACCGCCGCGGCACCGCAGGCCUAAACGGCAGCGGCAGAACAACUUUCCCAUGUUUCCAUCUCCUAAAGCCUGGAAUUUCAGAGGGCGGAAACGGAAGCAGAGCCCCCAGGAUGAAGAUGCGGUUAGCCUUUGUAGUCUUGAUAUAAGUG